GACCAUUUUAACCACUUUUAAGUGUACAGAAGAACCAAAUCUUGAUUAGUUUUAGCCCCAGGGCUUGGCACAGUGACACUCAGCAAAUAGUUGUGAAAGGCAUGGAGGAGGAGGGAAGGGAGAAGGGUCUGCCCCUGUACCUGCAUGUUGACGCACCUGGUUGUCCAGCAAGUCUGCGUCAGGGAAGGACUUGGGGGCAGGAGGUGGCUUUACCCAGGGGUCUUUAGCUCUCUUGGUUGUGCCCUGCUUUCUGGAUUUGGGCUCAGGGCAAUCUCAUCUCUUCUUUUUUCUCCUGCUCACACCCUGCAAUGAUUAAUUUGAUGUGCCAACUUGGCUGGGCUUUAGUACCCAGAUAGUUGGUCAAACAUUAUUCUGGAUGUUUCUGGGAGGGUGUUUUGGGAUGAGGUUUAUAUUGAAAUCAGUGGGCUUUGAGUAAACGGAUGGCCCUCUGUAAUGUGGGUGGGCCUCAUCUGAUCAACUGAAGGCUGGAAUGGAAUCAAAGACUGAGCUUCCCUGAGUAAGAGGGAACUGUGCAGCAGACAGCUUUUGGACUGGAACUGCAGUAUAGGCUCUUCUCUGAGUCUUCAGCCUGCCUGGCCUACCCUGUAGAUUUUGGACUUGCCAGCCUCCGUAACUGCAUGAGGUACUUCCUUAAACUAAACCUCUCCUCUCCAUAUACUCACCCUAUUGGUUCUGUUUCUCUAGGGAAUCCUAACACAUGCCCAUAUUCUUUCUCUGUCAUGCUUAAAUGUGUUGCUUGACAGGUUUAGUGAAUAAAUACAUAGGAAAAGAUUUGAGAAAUCAAUUGCUUCUAAAUAAGAGCUUGGGUGUUUAUGGACAAUGAAGGGGCAUGGACAGUGCUCCUUGACUGGAGAUGUGUGGGAGGACUAAGAAUUUCAGGCUGCUGUGUGAGCACUGAACUGCCUCUAACACAGACACUUCAGAAAGGUGCUGGUGAAGAGAGCAAUCCCUCCGUCUCAGGAUGGAAUGUCCUUCACCCAGAGGCUGAACAUCGGGAUUUUGGGGAGAAUCUCAUAGUGACUUCCCUGCUUCAGUCCCCCUCUUCUCAGUCUCUCUUUCCCUCUUUCCUGGUGGUUUGAACAUGUGUUUGGAAUUUCAGAGAGCUCAAACUGAAGACACUGGGUUUGGAUACAACGAAAAUGGUUUUUGCUAAGUAAUUUGUUUCAGAUGCUUAAAUUGAGACCAUCCUUCUGUAUUAAGUGAGAUGGAAGCUAGCAGCCUGAGAAGGAAAAAAACCCUAAAGAUGAAACCUCUUAGGCCAGCAAUGUCAGAAAGGCUAGGCUUUCUAGCUGUCCACACGCAGUUCUAGGGUGGGCCCGCAGAGCUGCCUCUCACACCCUCAAGGGCCCACUGGAGGUCUGUCUGAGGCUGGAUCAGCUUCACCUGCUUCUUUUAUCAUUCAAGUUCUGCUCAGAGAAAGGCCCUGUCCUGCUGCUGGGCCUUGAGGAAGCCAAGGUGAGCUGCUGGUAAGUCCAAUUAGGCUAGUCUCCCAUCUGUGGUCACAACUGCGGACGCUGCCUGGGAGAGGCAUUCUUCUCACAGAGCCACGCACAAGGCCCAAAUCUGCAAAUUCAGAUGCGAUAUUACCUUUCAACUGCACAAGCUGUACCACAAGGAUUUGAGAAGUUUAUUAUUGGACACAAAUCUGUCAGGAACUCCUCUGCUGUUAACUGACCA
rnacentral:lncRNA from 1 species